rnacentral:rRNA from 1 species
AUGGUUACAUUCACCGGGGAUGGUGUUGGGGCACUGUUUUCCCACCCCGCCCAUCAGCACGGGCUUAAGCUGGUAGUCACGGAGAAGCUGUUCCAGUGCGACGGCUGCAGGCAGAUCGGCGACAUGCAUAGGUACCGGUGCGAGCCAUGCGACUUUGACCUCCACGUAUGCUGCGCCCAGGCGCCGGCGCGCUUCGAGCAUUCCAUGUUCGAGGGCCGUGCGCUCACCUUCUUCCACAGCCGUCCCACGACCCCGCCAGGCGGCCUUGUGUGCUGCGACGUCUGCGCCGACCCGGUGCUGGGCUUCCUUUACCACAGCCUCGAGCACGACCUCGACCUCCACCCUUUCUGCGCAAUCAUGCCGAAGCGCAUCGGGGAGGACGGCGGCCGCGUGCUGGAACUCCACAAGGCCACCGGCCAUAGCUGCGGGCUGUGCGGGAAGGUUGGCGGAGGUUACUUGUCCUACCGCUUGCAGGACGACGACGGGAAGCUUGUGCACCUCCAUGUGGCGUGCAUGAUAGAGGCCAACUACACCAGCGACAGCCAGUUCGUGCAGGCCAACUCCAUGACGACUGGGGAGGUGAGUGCUCGCAGGGCGACGACAGGAGAGCUGGGCACGGUGCAGAACACGCCCAGGAGCAGGGGCAAAUUCAGGCUUAUCUGCAAAGUCGCCUUCCGCGUCGCGAAGCUCUCAGCCACUCAGUCGCCACUAUGA